rnacentral:rRNA from 5 species
GUGGGUAGUUUGACUGGGGCGGUCUCCUCCCAAAGCGUAACGGAGGAGCACGAAGGUUAGCUAAUCCUGGUCGGACAUCAGGAGGUUAGUGCAAUGGCAUAAGCUAGCUUGACUGCGAGCGUGACGGCGCGAGCAGGUGCGAAAGCAGGUCAUAGUGAUCCGGUGGUUCUGAAUGGAAGGGCCAUCGCUCAACGGAUAAAAGGUACUCCGGGGAUAACAGGCUGAUACCGCCCAAGAGUUCAUAUCGACGGCGGUGUUUGGCACCUCGAUGUCGGCUCAUCACAUCCUGGGGCUGAAGUAGGUCCCAAGGGUAUGGCUGUUCGCCAUUUAAAGUGGUACGCGAGCUGGGUUUAGAACGUCGUGAGACAGUUCGGUCCCUAUCUGCCGUGGGCGCUGGAGAAUUGAGGGGGGCUGCUCCUAGUACGAGAGGACCGGAGUGGACGCAUCACUGGUGUUCGGGUUGUCAUGCCAAUGGCACUGCCCGGUAGCUAAAUGCGGAAGAGAUAAGUGCUGAAAGCAUCUAAGCACGAAACUUGCCCCGAGAUGAGUUCUCCCUGAGACUU